UCGAACGAUGAAGCCCUUCGGGGUGGAUUAGUGGCGAACGGGUGAGUAACACGUGGGCAAUCUGCCCUGCACUCUGGGACAAGCCCUGGAAACGGGGUCUAAUACCGGAUACUGAUCGCCUUGGGCAUCCUUGGUGAUCGAAAGCUCCGGCGGUGCAGGAUGAGCCCGCGGCCUAUCAGCUUGUUGGUGAGGUAAUGGCUCACCAAGGCGACGACGGGUAGCCGGCCUGAGAGGGCGACCGGCCACACUGGGACUGAGACACGGCCCAGACUCCUACGGGAGGCAGCAGUGGGGAAUAUUGCACAAUGGGCGAAAGCCUGAUGCAGCGACGCCGCGUGAGGGAUGACGGCCUUCGGGUUGUAAACCUCUUUCAGCAGGGAAGAAGCGAAAGUGACGGUACCUGCAGAAGAAGCGCCGGCUAACUACGUGCCAGCAGCCGCGGUAAUUCA
rnacentral:rRNA from 1 species